rnacentral:rRNA from 1 species
CCUACGGGAGGCAGCAGUGAGGAAUAUUGGUCAAUGGACGAGAGUCUGAACCAGCCAAGUAGCGUGAAGGAUGACUGCCCUAUGGGUUGUAAACUUCUUUUAUAUGGGAAUAAAAUGUUCCACGUGUGGGAUUUUGUAUGUACCAUAUGAAUAAGGAUCGGCUAACUCCGUGCCAGCAGCCGCGGUAAUACGGAGGAUCCGAGCGUUAUCCGGAUUUAUUGGGUUUAAAGGGAGCGUAGGUGGAUUGUUAAGUCAGUUGUGAAAGUUUGCGGCUCAACCGUAAAAUUGCAGUUGAAACUGGCAGUCUUGAGUACAGUAGAGGUGGGCGGAAUUCGUGGUGUAGCGGUGAAAUGCUUAGAUAUCACGAAGAACUCCGAUUGCGAAGGCAGUUCACUGGACUGCAACUGACACUGAGGCUCGAAAGUGUGGGUAUCAAACAGGAUUAGAUACCCCGGUAUC